UGGGGAAUUUUGGACAAUGGGCGAAAGCCUGAUCCAGCAAUGCCGCGUGUGUGAAGAAGGCCUUCGGGUUGUAAAGCACUUUUGUCCGGAAAGAAAUCCUUGGCCCUAAUACAGUCGGGGGAUGACGGUACCGGAAGAAUAAGCACCGGCUAACUACGUGCCAGCAGCCGCGGUAAUACGUAGGGUGCAAGCGUUAAUCGGAAUUACUGGGCGUAAGGCGUGCGCAGGCGGUUUGCUAAGACCGAUGUGAAAUCCCCGGGCUCAACCUGGGAACUGCAUUGGUGACUGGCAGGCUAGAGUAUGGCAGAGGGGGGUAGAAUUCCACGUGUAGCAGUGAAAUGCGUAGAGAUGUGGAGGAAUACCGAUGGCGAAGGCAGCCCCCUGGGCCAAUACUGACGCUCAUGCACGAAAGCGUGGGGAGCAAACAGGAUUAGAUACCCUGGUAGUCCACGCCCUAAACGAUGUCAACUAGUUGUUGGGGAUUCAUUUCCUUAGUAACGUAGCUAACGCGUGAAGUUGACCGCCUGGGGAGUACGGUCGCAAGAUUAAAACUCAAAGGAAUUGACGGGGUCAUAGCUGUUUCCU
rnacentral:rRNA from 1 species